UACGUAGGUGGCAAGCGUUAUCCGGAUUUAUUGGGCGUAAAGAGAACGCAGGCGGUCUUUUAAGUCUGAUGUGAAAGCCUUCGGCUUAACCGGAGUAGUGCAUUGGAAACUGGGAGACUUGAGUGCAGAAGAGGAGAGUGGAACUCCAUGUGUAGCGGUGAAAUGCGUAGAUAUAUGGAAGAACACCAGUGGCGAAAGCGGCUCUCUGGUCUGUAACUGACACUGAGGCACGAAAGCGUGGGGAGCAAACAGG
rnacentral:rRNA from 1 species